rnacentral:rRNA from 1 species
GAUUUUUAACUCUCAAUUAUUACGUCAUUUCACCUCCUUCAUCCGAGAUUACCCGCUGAACUUAAGCAUAUCAAUAAGCGGAGGAAAAGAAACCAACAGGGAUUGCCUCAGUAACGGCGAGUGAAGCGCAAAGCUCAAAUUUGAAACCCUCGGGAUUGUAAUUUGAAGAUUUGGCAUUGGAGAAAGCUAACCCAAGUUGCUUGGAAUAGUACGUCAUAGAGGGUGACAACCCCGUCUGGCUAACCGUUCUCCAUGUAUUGCCUUAUCAAAGAGUCGAGUUGUUUGGGAAUGCAGCUCAAAGUGGGUGGUAAACUCCAUCUAAAGCUAAAUACUGGUGAGAGACCGAUAGCGAACAAGUACUGUGAAGGAAAGGUGAAAAGAACUUUGAAAAGAGAGUGAAAUAGUAUGUGAAAUUGUUGAUAGGGAAGGAAAUGAGUGGAGAGUGGCCGAGGUUUCAGCCGCCCCUCGUGGGCGGUGUACUGCCGACGCCGAGUCAUCGAUAGCGAGACGAGGGUUACAAAUGGGAGCGCCUUCGGGCGUUCUCCCCU